UUUGGAAACAAACAUUUCUCUUCUUAGGGAAGGACCGUGGAGUUUAUCCAGUCAAGGUCCCACAGAGGGAGUUAAGAGUUGCAGUAACCUGGCGUCUCCCCAGGCUAGAAACAGCUUCAGUCCUGCGCGGUGAAUGAGUUACCAAGUGCCUACUGAUAUGGACCGCAGUUGUUAAUGCUGUUGCUGAGAAUUACAAAGUGAAAUAAAGACAGUUCCUUUAUCUGAAGAUGUAAGUCAGAAGCAAUAGACUGAUUUCUGUCCCCAUCGUUUUCAUGGAGUGCAAAGCAGGUGGGAAGCUUUGGUGUGAAGCAUGCAGAAAAUCCAGGAAUUAUGCAAUUAUGCAGCAGGCCCACGAUGCAAACCUCUUCAGCACAAACACACAUCCUCCACUUUGGCUUGAUGUGGUAGCAUAACUGUCGCCCUAAUUCCUGAUACCUUUCUCCCCCAAGCCGUCCCCAAUGGAGAAAAAUAACUAACCCGGGCAAUGCAGAAGAGCCUUCCACACCCUGCCGAGGAUUCCAUCAUCAUCACAAGCAACAUGUUGCUCUAGUACAAUGGUUUUCGAAGA